CUCUUCGGGGAUGAUUAAACCGGCGCACGGGUGAGUAACACGUGAGUGACCUGCCUUUUAGACUGGAACAACUUACCGAAAGGUGAGCUAAUGCCGGAUGAGUUAUAUAAGUGCAUGUUUAUAUAGGAAAAGUUGGGGAGACCUGACGCUGAAAGAUGGACUCGCGUCCCAUUAGCUAGUUGGUAGGGUAAUGGCCUACCAAGGCGACGAUGGGUAGCCGGCCUGAGAGGGUGGCCGGCCACACUGGGACUGAGACACGGCCCAGACUCCUACGGGAGGCAGCAGUGGGGAAUUUUGCGCAAUGCUCGUAAGAGUGACGCAGCGACGCCGCGUGAAUGACGAAGGCCUUCGGGUCGUAAAGUUCUUUCGACAGGGAAGAAAAUGCCUAUAAGUAACUGUGUAUGUAUUGACGGUACCUGUAUAAGCAGCCCCGGCUAACUCCGUGCCAGCAGCCGCGGUAAUACGGAGGGGGCGAGCGUUGUUCGGAGUGACUGGGCGUAAAGAGCACGUAGGCGUGUUGUAAGUCAUUAGUCAAAGACUAGAGCUCAACUUUAGUAAGGCUAGUGAUACUAUAAUACUAGAGUAUCAGAGAGGAUUGCAGAAUUCCUGGUGUAGCGGUGAAAUGCGUAGAUAUCAGGAGGAAUACCGUUAGCGAAGGCGGCAAUCUGGCUGGAAACUGACGCUGAGGUGCGAAAGCGUGGGUAGCAAACAGGAUUAGAUACCCUGGUAGUCCACGCUGUAAACGAUGGAUGCUAGGUGUUGGGCUUUUAAGUUCAGUGCCGCAGCAAACGCGAUAAG
rnacentral:rRNA from 1 species